rnacentral:rRNA from 1 species
CAGCACCUCAAGUGGUCAGGAUGAUUAUUGGGCCUAAAGCAUCCGUAGCCUGUUCUAUAAGUUUCCGGUUAAAUCCAUUAGCUCAACUAAUGGGCUGCCGAAAAUACUGUGGAACUAGGGAGUGGGAGAGGUAGACGGUACUCGGUAGGAAGGGGUAAAAUCCUUUGAUCUAUUGAUGACCACCUGUGGCGAAGGCGGUCUACCAGAACACGUCCGACGGUGAGGGAUGAAAGCUGGGGGAGCAAACCGGAUUAGAUACCCGAGUAGUCC